rnacentral:rRNA from 1 species
GAGACCCACGCCAACAGUUGCCAGCACGUUCUCCGGAAUGGUGGGGACACUGUUGGGACCGCCUCUGCUAAAGAGGAGGAAGGAAUGGGCAACGGUAGGUCAGCAUGCCCCGAAUUACCCGGGCUACACGCGGGCUACAAUGGACAGGACAAUGGGAAUCGACACCGAGAGGUGAAGGCAAUCCCCUAAACCUGCCCUUAGUUCGGAUUGUGGGCUGCAACUCGCCCACAUGAAGCUGGAAUCCGUAGUAAUCGCGGAUCAACAUUCCGCGGUGAAUAA